CCUCGGAUCAGGUAGGAAUACCCGCUGAACUUAAGCAUAUCAAAAGGCCCGGAGGAA
rnacentral:rRNA from 1 species